CAAACGACUCUCGGCAACGGAUAUCUCGGCUCACGCAUCGAUGAAGAACGUAGCAAAAUGCGAUACUUGGUGUGAAUUGCAGAAUCCCGUGAACCAUCGAGUUUUUGAACGCAAGUUGCGCCCGAAGCCUUUCGGACGAGGGCACGUCUGCCUGGGCGUCACAC
rnacentral:rRNA from 1 species